AGCAUCUAAAGCAUAUAUGGCUAAGUACAGACAGUCAAAAAGCCCGAGGCUGAAUUGAUUCAGUCUUUGCAGGUUAGUCUAGGAUGCAGAGAUGAAACUGAGAAACAAGUGGACACGCAUCAACUUUUGAUCCAGGAAAUGCAGCUACAUACCUGCAGUGGCUCAGGUCAGAAGCCA